UGCCAGCCGCCGCGGUAAUACGAAGGGUGCAAGCGUUAAUCGGAAUUACUGGGCGUAAAGCGCGCGUAGGCGGUUUGGUAAGUGUGAUGUGAAAGCCCAGGGCUCAACCUUGGAACUGCAUCACAUACUGUCAGACUAGAGUACGGGAGAGGGGGGUAGAAUUCCACGUGUAGCGGUGAAAUGCGUAGAGAUGUGGAGGAAUACCGGUGGCGAAGGCGGCCCCCUGGAUCGAUACUGACGCUGAGGUGCGAAAGCGUGGGGAGCAAACAGGAUUAGAUA
rnacentral:rRNA from 1 species